GCCCGUGUAGCUCAGCGGUAGAGCAUUGUACUUAUGAGGAUAAAUUUGGCCGGAUUGUGAUAUGCAAGGGUCUCGAGUUCGAAUCUCGGCAUGGGCA